rnacentral:rRNA from 1 species
ACUAGACACAGCCCAAAACACAUCAUAACAUAUUACUCUAACACAACAAAAAUAAAACAAAACAUUUACAUUAAUAAAAGUAUAGGUGAUAGAAAUUAUAAAAAGCGCUGUAGAAAUAGUACCGCAAGGGAAAAAAUGAAAGAAACCUAUAAGUGAUAAACAGCAAAGAUUAACUCUUGUACCUUUUGCAUAAUGAUUCAACUAGACAACACUAGCAAAAGGAAUUUAAGUUAAAGAACCCGAAACCAGACGAGCUACCCACUAACAGCUUUUUUCAGAGCAAACUCAUCUGUGUAGCAAAACAGUGAGAAGAUUACUAGGUAGCGGUGACAAACCUAACGAGCCUGGUGAUAGCUGGUUGUCCAGAGCAGAAUCUAAGUUCUAAUUUAAAUUUACCAUAUAACUAACAAAUUUAAAUGUAAAUUUAAAUAAUAAUCUAAAAAGGUACAGCUCUUUAGAUGAAGGAUACAACCUUUAUUAGCGAGAAAACUUAUAAACAAAAUAACUUCAGUUGGCUUAAGAGCAGCCACCAAACAAGACAGCGUUCAAGCUCGACAAUUAAGUACUAGACUUAAUCUCCAACAUACCAAAAGUGCUCCUAAUAUAAAACUGGACUACUCUAUUCUUAAAUAGAGGCGAUAAUGUUGAUAUGAGUAACAAGAAAUAUUUCUCCACGCACACGUGUAUAUCAGAACGAACCCCUCACUGAUAGUUACCAAAAAGAGUAUAACCAAACAAUAGAACUCUACUAUUUAUUGUUAACCCAACACAGGAGUGCAAUCUAAGGAAAGAUUAAAAGAAGUAAAAGGAACUCGGCAAAUAUAAAUCCCGCCUGUUUACCAAAAACAUCACCUCUAGCAUAACAAGUAUUAGAGGCACUGCCUGCCCAGUGACCUCAGUUCAACGGCCGCGGUAUCCUGACCGUGCAAAGGUAGCAUAAUCACUUGUUCUUUAAAUAAGGACUUGUAUGAAUGGCCCCACGAGGAUUUUACUGUCUCUUACUUCCAAUCAGUGAAAUUGACAUUCCCGUGAAGAGGCGGGAAUUAACCAAUAAGACGAGAAGACCCUAUGGAGCUUUAAUUAACCAGUUCACAAAUAACAAGAUUACUCUAAAAGAAAUAAACCACAUUUUACAUGAGCUGAUAAUUUAGGUUGGGGUGACCUCGGAAUAAAACACAACUUCCGAGAAAUUUUAACUAAGACAGACAAGUCAAAAUUAAUUGCAUAAAUAUAUAUUGAUCCGUUAAUCUAAGCGAUCAACGAAACAAGUUACCCUAGGGAUAACAGCGCAAUCCUAUUUAAGAGUCCAUAUCGACAAUUAGGGUUUACGACCUCGAUGUUGGAUCAGGACAUCCCAAUGGUGCAGCAGCUAUUAAUGUGUUCGUUUGUUCAACGAUUAAAGUCCUACGUGAUCUGAGUUCAGACCGGAGUAAUCCAGGUCGGUUUCUAUCUAUUUUUUAGCCUCCCCUAGUACGAAAGGACAAGGGAGACAAGGCCCACUUAAAACAAGCGCCUUCACCAAAUAAAUGAACUAAUCUCAAUUCACCAUAACAAUCCAACCCAAGAAAAGGGUUUA